CCUACGGGAGGCAGCAGUGGGGAAUUUUGGACAAUGGGCGAAAGCCUGAUCCAGCAAUGCCGCGUGUGGGAAGAAGACCUUCGGGUUGUAAACCACUUUUGUACGGAACGAAACGGUUCGCUUUAAUACAGUGGGCUAAUGACGGUACCGUAAGAAUAAGCACCGGCUAACUACGUGCCAGCAGCCGCGGUAAUACGUAGGGUGCGAGCGUUAAUCGGAAUUACUGGGCGUAAAGCGUGCGCAGGCGGUUAUAUAAGACAGUUGUGAAAUCCCCGGGCUCAACCUGGGAAUUGCAUCUGUGACUGUAUAGCUAGAGUACGGUAGAGGGGGAUGGAAUUCCGCGUGUAGCAGUGAAAUGCGUAGAUAUGCGGAGGAACACCGAUGGCGAAGGCAAUCCCCUGGACCUGUACUGACGCUCAUGCACGAAAGCGUGGGGAGCAAACAGGAUUAGAUACCCUGGUAGUCCACGCCCUAAACGAUGUCAACUGGUUGUUGGGUGCAUAGUACUCAGUAACGAAGACUACGACGUGAGUAGUACCGCCGUCGGGUAGGUACGGCCGCGACGGUUAGUAACGUACGAAAGAAGUAGACGGCGUGAGACGUGCCGACGGACGACGACGAGGGAGGUUAGG
rnacentral:rRNA from 1 species